AGAAUCAACGCUGGCGGCGUGCCUAACACAUGCAAGUCGAACGAGAAAGUGGAGCAAUCCAUGAGUAAAGUGGCGCACGGGUGAGUAACACGUGACUAACCUACCCUUGAGUGGGGGAUAACCUCGGGAAACCGGGGCUAAUACCGCAUAAUAUCGAGAGAUCAAAGGAGCAAUUCGCUUAAGGAGGGGGUCGCGGCUGAUUAGCUAGUUGGUGAGGUAAUGGCUCACCAAGGCUAUGAUCAGUAUCCGGCCUGAGAGGGCGCACGGACACACUGGAACUGAAACACGGUCCAGACUCCUACGGGAGGCAGCAGUGGGGAAUUUUGCGCAAUGGGGGAAACCCUGACGCAGCAACGCCGCGUGGAGGAUGAAGUCCCUUGGGACGUAAACUCCUUUCGAUCGGGACGAUAAUGACGGUACCGGAAGAAGAAGCCCGGCUAACUCGCGCCAGCAGCCGC
rnacentral:rRNA from 1 species